UCUUAACUGUUGGAUUAGGCU
rnacentral:miRNA from 1 species